AAGCAACACUGCUGCCAACACACACCCACUGCGACGUCAGCCACACGAGCACUUUUAGGAGUUUAAGGCCCAGACAGGUGACACCACUUCAACUGAGCGCUUUGCCUGGUCCAACAGUGUGUGAAAGCCAACAGAGAGAGGGAGGUGGGGUGUGCCAUCCAUGGGGAAGGAAAGGUCACCUGGAAUAUUCUCCACAAGCUCGAUGCUGAAAGUAACACAUGCCUCUUGAGUUUCUGGAGCUUUAAAGGGGAACUCAUUUUCCUCCGUGAUACCGUCCUCAUCGUCCCCCCAAAUGUUGACUGAGGAAAAGAUCAGCACCAUCAGCACAGCAAAGCAGCAGAGAAGGGCAAAGAUGGCGAUGCACUUCUGCUGGGUCUAGAAGAUGACACACACACGUGCACCCACACGCACACAAACACACAUUGAGCAAAAGUCUGCAGCACUGUAGAGCCGCACUCUUCAGAAGAAAGCAUUGAUCUGACAACCAGCCUGCGGAGGAAUUCAAACCCCCCGAGCUUCACAAAUCUCACUUUAAGCCACAGAGUAGAGGACGUGAAGUGGAACGCUGUGUAGCUGAAGGCAAAGUGAUACACAGAAAAGCCAAACUGCAAUGGAGCUGAGAACACUGCUGUCCACUGAGACCACUGAGCUCUUCAUCACAUUUAGCAGAGUCAAGGACCAUGCUUGACGUGUGGAUGCGUACAGCUGUAAGGAAAUAAAGUGUCACGAUACAGAACAAGACUGACAGAGCGAGACACUCAGUCUGUCCCUCCCUGAUGGUUUUACUCUCGGACACCGUCUUCAUCCUGCUGGUUCCUCACUAUCCUGGAAGUUGCUGCAGGAAUAAGUUUGGAGCCGUGCCGUGUACACUCAGUAAUGCUUUACGAGCCCUGUUACUGUAUGUGGACAGACAUAUCACUUCGGGGGUUCACAUGAGGCCAGACUGGGUUGAAUGCAGAAUUUAUGACCACAAUGAGGUUUUACGCCUUCAACAACAGCUCGUAAGUCUUUUCUUUUUUUCUUCUUCAUCAAAACAACCAUAUUUAGUGGGCUGUGCUCUCCAAAGGGGAACUUUUUAAGGUAAUUUAAACGGUAUGUGCAAUACUGAAGUAUCUUUGAGUUGAACCCCCAGACAGCUGUAAUACUGUCAGCACUCACUAUGAUUGCUUCAGUAAGUAAUCAGAUAUCGGGUGGCUGGUUGAACUAAAAUGGAGAAAUGGAAGGAGUGCAGUUAACACUGUAUGGCAUUAAUCCCAUUAAAAAAAAAAAAUAAAA